rnacentral:rRNA from 1 species
CCUACGGGAGGCAGCAGUGGGGAAUAUUGCACAAUGGGGGAAACCCUGAUGCAGCGACGCCGCGUGAGUGAAGAAGUAAUUCGUUACGUAAAGCUCUAUCAGCAGGGAAGAAAAUGACGGUACCUGAGUAGAAAGCCCCGGCAAACAACGUCCCGGCAGCGGCGGUAAUACGUAGGGGGCAAGCGUUAUCCGGAUUAACUGGGUGUAAAGGGAGCGUAGACGGUGGCCCAAGUCUGGAGUGAAAUGCCGCAGCUGAACUGCGGAAUUGCUUUGGAAACUGGCGAACUGGAGUGCGGGAGGGGUAAGCGGAAUUCCUAGUGUAGCGGUGAAAUGCGUAGAUAUUAGGAGGAACACCGGUGGCGAAGGCGGCUUACUGGACCGUAACUGACGUUGAGGCUCGAAAGCGUGGGGAGCAAACAGGAUUAGAUACCCUUGUAGUC